rnacentral:tRNA from 1 species
CAAGAUAUAGCUUAAAUAAAGCAUCUAGUUUACACCUAGAAGAUUUCAUGCACCAAUGAAUAUCUUGA